CCGUCGAGUGCAUUUCGUCUCGUCCGGGUUAACAUAUUGAGUUUUCCAAAAGCAAAAUACCGAGAGGACGAAAGACUUUUUACUUUUUAGUUUUGUUUUUCCAAGGAUGAAAAAUCGACGAUGAUAAAGUUUAUUCGAGGACGGUGAUCGUCCCUCGGUCGGUGGUGACAGUUUGGUACGUUUUUGAAAAUAUUUUGAAAGAGAAUUGAAUUCUCUUUUGCCGCAAUAUUCGUGAGGCCGGAAGCAACGCCGAGGGGAUGAAAUAAAACGUGCUUACAGUGCAGUGCGCCAAUCGAAAACUCCCUUCCGGUUCAUCCACGUGCUUCACGGAGGUAAAAAGCUCCGCAUCGUUCACGUGGAACGCGACGAACGCUCGGACGUCGAUUCUCGUCGAACUAACGCUCCGAAAUGAGCUAAAAAAAUCUUCGACACGAAAUACAGAAAUAAAAGAGACCCGAAGUUCAACCUCGGGAAGAAGGGUGAGGCCCUUCCCAGCCAAGUUUGCUCCACGCAUAAAGUUGCCCAUCGACAAAUCCGAUAACGCAGCAGCGCAGGAAAAUAACAAAAGGUAAAAACGAGUCUCACAAAUCGAGUGAUAACGGGGAAGCAACAAAAGGAAGGGAAAGGAGAAGCGAGAGGGAGAGAUAUUCGCACACAUCGUCGGAGGACAUUCGAAACCGUGAAAAAUUAAUUUCGAUUGAAAGGCAAUAGGCGGCUGGGCAAAGCACCGUCGAGCUCUAUAAACAAUAUCGUCGAUGCGCGGUUCGAGAGUCGCGGUUACGCUCCUGUGAAUUGAGAGAUAGAAAACGAACGCUGCGUGUGCGUGGAUCCGCGUGUACGUGUGUGUACAUUCGAGUGAUAGAAUUUCAACGGAGUGGGGGAAGGUACAGGGGGUUGGUGAGUGCGUGAAGGUUCAACUACGAUAGAGAGAUAAAGAGAGUGAGGGGGCUUCGAGAGGGGAACCAACGGCCCCGAUAUCCCGUAAUUAAAGCGUUCCAACACGAUUCCCGGCUGCGCCGUACGUGCAUUAAGUAUUUACACGUAUGUAAAUCGAUAUACAAAUCUAUCCGGUCGCGCACAGAUCCGUCGUAAUAGGCACAUCCGAAGGCCGAUUUCCCUAUGCGAGACUAGUCGUUACCGGCGGUUUAAUACCGUUGAGUUAAUAAAAAAAAGUGAGGAAACACCUGUCCGUGCGGUGAUCGAGCGAAUCGGUGAAUAUUUAAUCAGACACACCUCAGUGCGCGUUAACGAAGGGAAUCUCGUUAAUAAAAUUAUCCCGCGUUUACUCCCUUCUCCCGUUUAAUCAAACGUACGUGCACCGCGGUGUCACAUCGCGCUAAUUAACAUCCCUCUUCGUCUCGUGUUUGUACGCAUCGUUUGUGGGACUCGUCUCGAUUUACGGUAGACUUUUAAUCACAUGCGAGCGUCGUCGCGACUGAUUGAAAGUCACAGGAACCGCCUCUCGAAAGGCGGCUCGAGCGAACGGUGUGCGACUCCAAUCUGAGGCAUUUCCGGUUCUCGAAACGACGAUCCCGCCUCAGAUCGGAGUUGACUUUGAUCCUGUAUCGAUUUAAGUCAUUUCUAUUCGGCAGAUCUGAACGCGAUUCGAAUUGCAACAAAAGAACGCAAGCCUAGCUCCUCCCUGUUGGAAUCCGGAACGAGAUUCCUCCCGAAAAAGCAACUCUUUCAAAAAGACAUUCGCUCCAACUAUUUUCACAGAAACUUUGUCCCCGACCUCGUGUCUCCUUUUCCAGAAUAUUUCCCCCAAUUUUCGGAUGAGCUUCAAUGGAGUGCGCUACAUUUUAGGUGCAAUAGGAAUCGCUCGAGCCGGGCAAAUGUAUGGACACACGUUUGCUGCACAUCCGAAUAAAGCCCGUAUAGAUAUACGUAUGGAAGUUCGGAGUACGCGUGGUUGAGGCUUCAGCUCUCACGUCAGUAGUCAAAGGUUUCGUACAGCCAGACGCGAAGUCGUGCAUGAAUAACGUACACGGAUCUCUACACGUGCCUAUAGAGAGAGCCCACGUCGUGCGUACCUUGCGUGAAUUCGCACUGAGAAACAGCAUCCGAAAAUGGGAAGCCUCGUGUGUGAGAAAGAUGGAAAUCCGUCGUCGCUGCAGUGUCAGUAAGUUUGGUCCAAGUGAAUUUGCGGGGAUGCUGGAAGGAGGAUCUUAAGAGCUCGUGCUAUUGUACAAGCCGACGAAAAUAUAUCUGUACGAGGAGGAGUAAGAAGCUCUGAAUUAAUUUGCGACUGUGGCAAAGUGAAGUGUUUCUAUGGGUUCUCCGCCUCACUCACAAAUCCUGGGGUGUUGACUCAGUGCCACGAGCCGCCAGUUGAUCUUUGCGCUUCCCCACAAAAAUUUUCACUCUUCCUCUUUCCUCGUACCUUCACCUUCGUUUGUUUGAUUUUUUCAUCCGACACAGGCUCGCAAAUAUCGCGGAGUGAUCGUGCGUGUGGUGUGACUAUGUAUCGACUUUUCAACUUGCUCGUCGUUGUGGACUAUUCGGCUUGACGUUUCCUGACCAGUAUCCGAUAACCAGGGUUGCGGUUGAUCUACCAGUAUCGGAAUGUUUUUGGCCCACGAAGUAUGCAUCGACGAGAAAUAAAAAGAGUGAGCACAAAGAAGAAGGGAGUCGUGCACAUGUUCGUCUGAAUCAUAUCUCCGGAGAGCCAUUCUUUAUGGGAAGAAGAUUACAAGAGGAAAUUCGAGAGGAAGGAAAGAAGCUUUUUGGGUAAAAGAUAGAAAGCAGAGGCUCGAGUUUCUUGGGUCGUUUUGGAAGGGAGACCGGAGACCGGAGUCUCAUCACGAUCACUCGUCUUUCCACAUUCGUUGCAUCAUUCAAGCCUGCUAAAUAAUGCUGUUUUCCCUCUGGCUGCUGGAUAGCGUCAACUUUAUUCAGGAGGGUGUUCCGAGCUAAAAAAGGAAAAUAUAAAAACGUGCUCGGGCUGCGGGGCGAGCGAGCGAAGCUCCGCAGGAUGUGACAUUCUCUCGAACUGCGCUCUGUUAAUGAACGCGGCGAGUUUGCGAUAAUUUAACUAGCGAGUGAAAAAAAUUAAGCAUGCCAGUCGGAGCGACGUUCCCCGCCGUAUAAACAACGCGAACAACGAAAACUUGUUGGAAAUUAAGUCACACGCGACGCGGGAAUGUUCUCAGCGGAACGAUCCGGGAGUGUUGCCAGCGAGGGCAACUCCGCUGUCGUUUCCUUCUCGAAGUAAGCCCAAGGAAUAAAAAUUUCUGAGGUUGUCUGCUCUCCCCUUGUCAAUAACCUUGUUGACGCGGAGUGUGCACUCCGGGAAAAAAUAUACAAGCGCGUCUGCAGUGGCGUGCCGAUGCACGAGCGUUACGAGCGCGCCGCAGUCUCGCCCGUCUCGUCGCACGCUUCAGCCUUUUCGUAAAUAAGAAACGUAGGAUGCGCGAGGAGCUGAAGCUCGAUGCUGUGAGAGCCAGCCGGUGGCGAGCGGGUCUCCAGUCCUCGCUGGAUCGGCAUUGUCUCGGUGCGCUACGCAAAUUCACUUGAAGUUACGAGCGAGCGAAAAAGAGUCGGACCGAUUUGACGAGGGAUGAAAAAUCGCCUGGAGAAAUCGCUGGCUCUUCUCGCAAUUUUUCUCAAGUCAGAGGAAUGAGGGGGAAGAAAUAACGUCGUUGGAAGUUGAGAGUAAUUAAUUCGAGGAAGCAGGAGAAGCGAAAAUCGUCUAAAUGCGUUAUUGAUUAUGAAUAACUGAAUGACCAGCGCGUGGGGAAGCCGAUUUUUCGAUGGGACCGUUGAAACGGUGGUAGAUCGACGAGACGGCGGAUCGUGAUGAAUAAUAUCUGCCGAUAAGCAGGGUAAACAAUUCAAUCGACGCUCGCGUCAGUCCGGAUUCGUCCCCUUGCCGGUGUCCCUCCGCUGAACGUCGUUACCGAAGGAUUUUCGUCAACGAAAACGGUUGCGUUUCCGUACGAGCGAAAAAAAACGUCGGCACUCGUGGCGUCCGAGCGGAAUAAACAAUUCAGGGGAGCGUGAAGCUUCAACGGGAAAUGAAUAAUUCACAGGAUCGUGGAACACCGCGGAACUGGAUCGAGCGCUCCGAAAAUUCUAUUCCGGCGGGUCUCAUUCAGUGACAAAGUAUCGGAGCGUCCCAAUUUUUUGGGCUUAAUCGAGAUUUGCAAGUCGUCCAAAAGUACACCGCGGAGCGAGCAUGCUCGCUGUCCGAAACGGCGCCAGAUCCGCAAACGUCAAACGGCGAGCUUUUUUCAUCGGCGUCGUUACGCCGGUUGUAUGCAUUUUGUCGUAGACGAUUUUCCACAGGGAUA
rnacentral:lncRNA from 1 species